AAUAUGCUCAUGUGUCCGCAAAGGAAUAGAGAGGUUCAAGGCGAUAGGUACACUUUCAGACCACUUUGUAGACGUUGUUUUCAUGUAGCUUCAAGAGGCGCAAAGACAAACACGCUGGUGAAUGCAGUAAGUGUGGACUUGCCGUCUUUAAUGGAGGAACUGUUAGGAAAACUGGAGCAUCCCCAUGGCAUUGCCCUGAUCAGAAGCCUAAGGCAGACACAUCAGGGCUGAUGCUGGACUGAUGCUGGACUGCCCUUCAGUCAGUCAUCGGCUGGCUGUGAUGCGACGUCUACACACAGGCGACGGGGCGAUGGGUUUGACCUGGAACACAGAUUAAGCUGCUCCUGCUCACGGGGCUUUUGGUAUCUUUUGGAAGUAAAUACAUGCUUAACAGAAAAAAGACAGAAGCCUUUAAAUGUUCAUAAAGUCCUUCCUCUCUCUGCUCCUUGUUUUCUGACCCUUAUAACGUAAAUCCUGUAACCCCUCUGCCCCCCUGCGUCAGCUAUAGAGUCAAAACAAAAUCAAGAAAGAAUUGCUGGCAUAAAAACAUAGUGCAGGCCCCAAGGGUUAAAAACUGUAAUCAGUCUUGAAGAGAAGGAAAUGAACUUUGUGAAGAGGGAAGGGCAGGUCAAGCACACAUGGUUUUGGAAGAACAGCAUCAACUUUCCUGUGAACGUCUUACCUAACGUCUCCGAGGACAGAUUUUUUGUUGUUUAAAAAGCUACCUUUUGGCUUGUGGUGGAGUAGAAAAACUGAAAAUGAUCCUCAGAUGCUCGGACUCUGACUAGUAUUUAAAUAUAUGUAUAUACACGUAUGCAGCCGCAUUGAGUCAUGUUUAUAUAAAUGCUAAUGUCAAAGUGUCUUAGUACCUGAUAGGUAACAAGAACAAAAAUGCAUGUUGCGUUUGACCACCAUAAGCUAAGUGCCCUGAGAAUCUGCAUGUAAAGUAUGAAGAUGGAGGUGUAUGCAAUAGUGAAAUAAUCACUUCUUUAAUGACUUUGCUUAGCCCAGGUGAAGCUAACCCAGCAAGUCCACCAAUGAACGUAGGUGUGGGAUUUCUCAGAGCCGUAAAGCUGAUAACGUUGAUGUGAAACAGGGCAGCUGGAUGCUCUAUUUAAGCCACACCAUUUCUACUGCAGAACUGUGUUCUUCCACUGCAUGUUGUGAGUUUGUUUAUUUUGCGGCUAAACAAGAUGUUAGGAACUUGCUGUUUACUUACGAUUUUCUGCACUGGUAUUAAUUUAGCCUUCCUUGUGACAUAGAGUGUAAUUAAACAAAUGUAUUAUUCGG